rnacentral:tRNA from 1 species
GAGAAUAGCUCAAUUGGUAGAGUAAUGGUCUUCAAAACCAUCGGUUGCGGGUUCAAGCCCUGCUUCU